GGGUGAUGUGGUUGAGUUGGGCAAGAAUGGAUGAUCAGAGUUAGGAAUGGUAAAUGGAUGGGUAAAGGAUAACCAAACUAAUCUACCAACUAACCUAGAUAAAUAAGAGUGGUAGUAGAUUUAGGGGACCUAUCAAAAGGAUAGCACUAGUUAUUCAAGUAAAGCAAAGAGGCAUACCCAUCCUAAAGUUCAAACACGAAGCACAACGAGCCUUAUGUUUUAAGAACUAGACCGAACAUGGGGGAAUACUUAGGCAAUCAGGGUUGUCACCACCUGGUGCGACCUGAGCUAUCCGUGGGUCUAGCCAUAUCUGAAUGUAGGCCUAUAGCCGAAGCACCACGCUUAAUCUAUACUCCUACUAUCUUUACCCAUGCUCUCGAUGAAAGACACCGUAACCAGAUGACAGAGCAAUUACUAGCUUGAACAACUAAAACUAAACUAACUAAGCACUUAUCCCAACACAAUCAAGCACCUAAGCUCAAUAUUGAAAAGAUCACUAUAAACUAAGUACUUGAAAGGUAAAUAACACUCAAAAUACCAAAGGUAAAUGAUAAAUAAAUGAGUACUAAGAUAGCAAAGGUAUAAUACUAGAGUGGAGAGGAGGAAGACUCUUCCUGUCUCUAAGCUGAGCUACGCCUGCCUACUCUUCCCGCUUACAACUCCAAGCUACUAGAGCGAAGCUAAGCUGGAGGCACAGAGGCAAUGGAGUUAAGCUGGCUACCUAAGUGAGGGAGCUACUAUGCUAACACUUGCUCUAAGCUCUAUGCUAUGCUUGAGCCUCUUCUUGUGUUCUCUUCUUUUCUCCCCUCCUCGAAACAGUGGCCAAGGGGGUCCUUUCAUAUGCUAGGGAGUCUUCUGGUGGAAGGAGCUCAUAGGGAGUGAAGAGGAGUGGUGGGCGCCAGAAUGGGGUGGCAGGCGCCAGUGAUCUACGGCAGGUGCCACCCCUAGUCAACCGCCUUUGCUCCCGAUAGUCCAAAUGAUCUCCCAAAGUUAGUUUUAGGUAAGACACGUGUCGAAGUAACAUUUUGUCACAUGUUGGAAAACCAUGAUCCAUGUGACAACAUGUUCUGGCCCUUGGAUCAAACCGACAUGGCUUUGGACACCUUAGAUGCAGUCCUAGAGGUGUCACACGGAAUGUUGACGUGGCUGGCGACGUAGGGGGUGGCUCCCGCCAGGUGGGCCCGGUGGCCGCCACCUUGGCAUGGCGCCCGCCACCCUGGUUGGCCUAUGUGGCGCUAGGUGUGGUGGGUUGCCUUCCAGGUGGGUCCUUUUCACUCUUUUUCCUGUUAUUUUGUAACACCCUAAAAUUUACUCCUUUUGAAAUAUAGAUAAAAUUAUUUUAUUUUGUAUUUUUGUGCUCAUGAAAACAUAGGAAAAAUAAUAUUUUUCAUUAAAAUAAAAUUUAUCAUAAGAUUAGUAAUAUGGUUGUGCACUCAUGCCUCUGCAUUUUAGUUAUUUUGCUGAGUGGUUUUAUUAAAAUUCAAACGUAAUUCAAAGUGAUUUUUAAAACGGUUUUGAAAAUGGCUUUGGAAUAAAAUAAAUGGAAAUAGAAAAUAAAAAAAUAAAAAAACAAAACUCCUCCUCUCCCUCUUCCUGGCCUGAUGGCCCAAAUCCCCUCUCCCCACUCGCGGCCCGCCAGUGCACCUCCGCUCCUUCUGCUUUCCGGCCCACUCUCCUCCCCAGCCCAAUGACCAGCAGCAGCGGCGCACCCAUCCCCUCCCUUUUCCCCUCUUCCGCUGGCAGCUGGGCCCCGUCAUCGGCUUUUACUUUUCUCCCACCCAGUCGCUGACAUCACGGACCCACCUGGCAGUGAACUUCCUUCUCCUUCCUCUCGCCGUGAGCAAGCCGGACUCGACCAGGAAGCUGACCAAGCCGGAUUUCUUGGGAUUUCUUGCUAACCCUGCUUAACCAAGCACUUAUAAGCCCUGUGGCAUCCCCACACCCUCCCCCUUUCAUCUAGGAACCAAGAAGCCGCCUAACUUCGCCCUGGUCUCGCGUUUGGAUCUCGCCGAAAGCUUGAGGAAGCCGCCGCCAUGGUUCACGCGAUUCGCGCCCGCUCUAUCACAAUCGACUGGAUGCCGAGCUUCGGUUUGAGGUUACGAAGUUUCCUAGCUUUCUCCCUUGCUCUCUAUCACACUCUAGCGCCCUCACAUCGACGCCAAACAUGUGCAGGGGCCCGUUGUCCGCUGGAUUGCGUGGCCGACCACCUCCAAGCCUUCCCCGAGCUUCCAAAGUGCUCUUGGUAAGCUCGCGUUGACCCCCGCUAUCUCCUCAUGCUCUCGGUGCGUCUAUUAGUGCCCGAAAUCGCCCAAGUGCCGAACUCCGGCGAGUCUCCGGCCAUGGCGCCGCCGCGGCUGCCCUAUUCCGGCCGGCGACCCCUCUCUCUCCCCCUGGAAUCUAAUCGGAGCCGUUGAAACACGAUCCAG
rnacentral:lncRNA from 1 species